rnacentral:rRNA from 1 species
UUGACGGGACCCGCACAAGCGGUGGAUGAUGUGGUUUAAUUCGAUGCAACGCGAAAACCUUACCCACCUUUGACAUGGCAGGAAUCCUGAAGAGAUUUGGGAGUGCUCGAAAGAGAACCUGCACACAGGUGCUGCAUGGCUGUCGUCAGCUCGUGUCGUGAGAUGUUGGGUUAAGUCCCGCAACGAGCGCAACCCUUGCCAUUAGUUGCUACGAAAGGGCACUCUAAUGGGACUGCCGGUGACAAACCGGAGGAAGGUGGGGAUGACGUCAAGUCCUCAUGGCCCUUAUAGGUGGGGCUACACACGUCAUACAAUGGCCGGUACAGAGGGUAGCCAACCCGCGAGGGGGAGCCAAUCCCACAAAGCCGGUCGUAGUCCGGAUCGCAGUCUGCAACUCGACUGCGUGAAGUCGGAAUCGCUAGUAAUCGCGGAUCAGCAUGUCGCGGUGAAUACGUUCCCGGGUCUU